rnacentral:rRNA from 1 species
AUGGCCUCCGCGGCCGCAGCGGCGCCGCCGCCGCUGUCCUCGCCGGAGUCCGACCCGCGCCUCGUCGAGGCCUUCGUGCCUUUCCUCGAGAAGCUCGUGAAGAACGCCUCGUGGCGCAACAAGGCGCACUCCAAGCUCUCCCACACCGCCAAGUCCAUCCUCGACCGCCUCCAGAGGCCCCCGCCCCCCUCGCCCACCGCGGCGCAGACCCCGUCCACCCCCACCUCGCCCUCCACGCCGACUUCCUCCUCCUGGCAGCCGGGCCCGCUCCGCAACCUCUCGCUCGAGGACUCGGAGCUGCUCCUCUCCCCCAUCUCCUCCGCGCUCGGCUCCGGCAGCGCCAAGCUCGUCGAGGCCGCGCUCGAGCUACUCCACAGGCUGAUCGCACACUCCUACAUCCAUGGCGAGGCCGACCCGUCGGCUGACCCCUCGUCACAGCUCGUCGCUUCCCUGCUCGAGGCGGCCUGCAAUGCGCUCCACCUCGACGACGAGCACAUUGAGCUCCUCCUCCUCAAGACUCUCCUCUCUGCGGUCACAUCCACCUCCGUGUGCCUCCACGGCGACUGCCUGCUCCGCGCUGUGCGCGCCUGCUAUGAUAUGUAUCUGGGGAGCCGUAGCACCGUGAAUCAGGCCACUGCCAAGGCGUCGCUCGUGCAGAUGUUGGUAAUCGUCUUCCGCAGAAUGGAGGCAGAUUCAUCAACGAUCCCCGUGCAGCCCAUCGUCGUGGCUGAAGUGAUUGAGUUGCCUGAUGCUGGCUCAGGUGCAUCACCCACCGCCGAUGUCACCUUCGUACAGGGAUUCAUCUCGAAGAUCAUGGUGGACAUUGAUGGUGCAUUCACACCUCUGGCACGGACAACCUCGUCUGCUGCGGCAGGCACUGUGCCCCAUGAUGGUGCUUUUGAGACGACCGCAGCAGCUGAGGAAGGGGCAAAUCCUGCGGACUUGCUUGAUUCAACGGAUAAGGACAUGCUGGAUGCCAAGUACUGGGAGAUUAGCAUGUACAAGACAGCUCUUGAGGGUCGUAAGGAUGAGCUUGGCGUGGAGGGGGCAGUGGUAGCCACUUUGGAUGAUGAUGCUGAUGUCAGGAUUGGGAAUAAGCUGCGGAGAGAUGCUUUCUUAGUUUUCCGGGCAUUAUGUAAGCUCUCGAUGAAGACACCGCCGAAGGAUGCACCAGCUGAUCCGAUAGUGAUGCGGGGGAAGAUCCUUGCUCUUGAACUUCUCAAGAUCUUGCUUGAAAAUGCUGGGGCUGUGUUCCGCACCAGCGAGAGGUUUCUAGGUGCUAUCAAGCAGUAUUUGUGCCUAUCACUUUUGAAGAACUGUGCCUCGUCACAUAUGAUUGUUUUUCAGUUAUCUUGUUCUAUUUUUAUUAGCUUGGUUUCAAGAUUUAGGCCAGGAUUGAAGGCAGAAAUUGGAGUAUUUUUUCCCAUGAUCAUUCUAAGAGUUCUGGAAAAUAUUGCACAACCAAAUUUUCAAGCAAAGAUGAUAGUUCUUCGUUUUUUGGAGAAGCUCUGUACUGAUUCUCAAAUCUUGGUUGACAUUUUCAUCAAUUACGACUGUGAUGUCCACUCAUCGAACAUAUUUGAGAGGAUGGUCAACGGUCUGCUUAAAACAGCUCAAGGGCCUCCUGCGGGUAUUGCUACCACAUUGGUACCGCCUCAGGAUACGACAAUGAAGAGUGAAGCAAUGAAAUGCUUAGUUUCUAUCCUCAGAUCCAUGGGAGAUUGGAUGAAUAAGCAGCUAAGUAUUCCAGAUCCUGACUCUCCUAAGAUUGAAUCAGAGCAAAACGAUAAUGAUGGUGGAAAUGAGUUUCCCCAGACAGAGAUCAAUGGAGAUGCUUCUAGCGAGGUAUCCGAUUCACAUUCAGAAGUAUCAAAUGGGGUUUCAGAGGCUGCAUCUUUGGAGCAGCGUCGAGCUUACAAAAUGGAACUUCAGGAGGGUAUCGCUCUGUUUAACCGGAAGCCUAGAAAGGGAAUUGAAUUCUUAAUAAAUGCCAACAAGGUCGGGGAGUCAGCUGAGGAUAUAGCUGCUUUCCUGAAAAGUACUUCUGGCUUGAACAAGACUAUGAUUGGUGAUUAUUUAGGGGAAAGGGAAGAUUUAUCCCUCAAAGUCAUGCAUGCAUAUGUGGAUUCUUUUAAUUUUCAGAAUAUGGAAUUUGAUGAAGCGAUCAGAGCCUUUCUUCAAGGUUUUAGGCUUCCUGGAGAAGCUCAAAAGAUUGAUCGGGUUAUGGAGAAAUUUGCAGAGCGUUACUGCAAAUGCAACCCAAAGGCCUUUUCGAGUGCAGACACAGCUUAUGUUCUUGCUUAUUCAGUCAUAAUGCUUAACACUGAUGCACAUAACCCAAUGGUCAAAAAUAAGAUGUCACCAGAAGAUUUCAUAAGAAACAAUCGUGGUAUUGAUGAUGGGAAAGACCUACCAGAAGAAUUUAUGAGGUCCUUGUAUGGAAGGAUUUGGAAAAAAGAAAUUAAGAUGAAAGAAGACGAAUUUGUUCCUCAUCAGCAACAAUCAACAAGCUCUAACAAAAUUCUUGGGUUGGAUAACAUUCUUAACAUUGUUAUACGCAAACGAGGUUCAGCUAUGGAGACGAGUGAUGAUCUCAUUAAGCAUAUGCAGGAGCAAUUCAAAGAAAAGGCUCGUAUGUCUGAGUCAAUAUUUUAUCCAGCCACGGAUGUAGUAAUUUUGAAGUUCAUGGUCGAGGUUUGUUGGGCUCCUAUGCUUGCUGCCUUCAGUGUGCCACUUGACCAGAGUGACGAUGAAAUUGUCAUAUCCCAGUGUCUUGAGGGAUUUCGCUGUGCAAUACAUGUUACCGCAGCUAUGUCGAUGAAGACUCAAAGGGAUGCUUUCAUUACAUCGCUUGCCAAGUUUACAUCACUUCACUCUGCUGCGGAUAUCAAGCAGAAAAAUAUUGAAGCGAUUAAGGCAAUUCUGUUGAUUGCAGAUGAAGACGGAAAUUACUUGCAAGAAGCAUGGGAGCAUAUAUUGACCUGUGUUUCUCGUUUCGAGAAUCUACAUCUUGUAGGUGAAGGUGCUCCUCCAGAUGCCACUUUCUUUGCACUGCAACAGCCAGACCUUGAUAAAUCAAAACAGGCUAAAUCCUCGAUUAUCCCUGGUUUGAAAAAGAAGGCUCCAACUGCUGGUGCUGCUUCUAAAAGAGGUACUUAUGACAGCGCUGGUGUUGGUGGAAAAGCUUCUGGUGUUGAUCAAAUGAAUAAUGCGGUGACAAUCCUCUUGGAGCAAGUCGGGAUGGCUGAAAUGAAUCGUGUAUUCAUAAGAAGUCAAAAUCUCAACAGUGAGGGUAUAAUUGAUUUUGUAAAGGCCCUUUGUAAGGUUUCAAUGGAGGAAUUGCGGUCUGCUUCUGAUCCACGUGUUUUUAGCCUGACUAAGAUUGUUGAAAUCACGCAUUACAAUAUGAACCGCAUCAGGCUUGUCUGGUCAAGCAUAUGGCAUGUCUUGUCUGAAUUUUUUGUUACCAUUGGCUGCUCAGAAAAUCUUUCAAUUGCAAUAUUUGCUAUGGAUUCAUUGCGGCAGCUGGCAAUGAAGUUCCUGGAGCGAGAAGAACUGGCCAACUACAAUUUCCAAAAUGAAUUUAUGAAGCCUUUUGUUGUUGUAAUGAGGAAGAGUAGAGCUGUUGAGAUAAGAGAACUAAUCAUCAGGUGUGUAUCUCAAAUGGUACUGGCCCGUGUUAAUCAUGUGAAGUCAGGGUGGAAAAGCAUGUUUAUGGUUUUUGCAACGGCAUCAUAUGAUGAUCAUAAAAACAUUGUACUCUUGGCCUUUGAAAUUAUCGAGAAGAUUUUGCGAGAUUAUUUCCCCUACAUUACCGAGACUGAGUCUUCAACUUUCACUGAUUGUGUGAACUGUCUUAUUGCGUUCACCAACAGUAGGUUUAACAAGGAUAUAAGCCUUAAUGCAAUUGGUUUUCUUCGAUUCUGUGCGGCAAAGUUGGCAGAAGGUGACAUCGGGUCCUCUUCAAGGCUGAAGGAACCUUCGCCUCGUUUGACCAAGGAUGGAAAGCAGGAAGGUGCAAUUCAGGUUGAUAAGGAUGAUCAUAUACACUUUUGGUUUCCUUUAUUAGCAGGAUUGUCUGAACUUACUUUCGACCUUAGACCAGAAAUUAGGAAAAGUUCCUUGCAGGUGUUAUUUGACACAUUAAGAAACCAUGGCCAUGUUUUCUCUCUUCCUUUGUGGGAGAAGGUGUUUGAUUCAGUACUUUUCCCAAUAUUUGAUUAUGUAUGGCAUGCUAUUGAUCCAUCUGGUGGUUCUUCACAAGGACAAAAUGCGGAAAAUGAUCCUGCAGAGCUUGAUCAAGAUGCUUGGAUGUAUGAAACGUGCACGUUGGCCCUUCAGCUAGUUGUUGACCUUUUCGUCAAGUUCUAUGACACUGUCCAUCCACUUCUGAGGAAAGUUCUUUCACUCUUGACAAGUUUCAUUAAGCGUCCCCAUCAGAGUCUUGCUGGUAUAGGCAUUGCUGCAUUUGUUCGCCUGAUGAGCAGUGCUGGCUCUGUCUUCGUGGAUGAAAAAUGGCUGGAAGUCGUGUUGUCUUUGAAAGAAGCUACCACAGAGACGCUUCCUGACUUCUCUUAUAUCGCAUCUGGAGCUUACCUUGAAAAUGUACCAAUAGAAAAUGGAGACUCUUCAGAUAAGAGAGAAGACGAAUCUCAACCAUCAGAGGAUGGUACUGAAGAAACCUCUAGAUCAAGGAACCUGUAUUUUGCAAUUGCUGAUGCCAAGUGCCGAGCUGCUGUCCAACUCCUAUUGAUUCAGGCUGUGAUGGAGAUAUAUAACAUGUACAGAGCUCAGUUGUCGGCACAGAACACAGUAAUCCUCUUUGAGGCCUUGCAUACUGUUGCCACUCAUGCUCACAAGAUAAACAGUGACAACGACCUGCGGACCAAGUUGCAGGAGCUGGGCUCUAUGACCCAAAUGCAGGACCCGCCAUUACUACGCCUUGAGAACGAGUCAUAUCAGUUGUGCCUCACUAUCCUCCAGAAUAUAUUCUUGGACAGAGCUCCAGACGAAGGGAGCUUAGAGGUCGAAACCCACCUAGUUGGACUUUGCAAGGAGGUUCUUGAGGUAUACUUGAGCACAGCAAGGCCUGCUCACCUUUCUGGCGGUAUACAGCCGCUUGGCCAUUGGCUUAUUCCGGUUGGUUCGUCAAAGCGGAGAGAGCUUGCUGCCAGGGCACCGCUUGUUGUCUCAACAUUGCAAGCUAUCAGCGGUCUCGGUGACUCAUCUUUUGAGAAGAACCUUGGCCAGUUCUUCCCCCUACUAGCUGGUCUCAUCAGCUGUGAGCAUGGUUCAGGUGAAGUGCAGGUGGCCUUGAGUGAUAUGUUUAGCACUUGGGUUGGCCCAAUCGUGCUUCAGUCCUGUUGA